rnacentral:rRNA from 1 species
GACGAACGCUGGCGGCGUGCUUAACACAUGCAAGUCGUACGGUAAGGCCCUUUCGGGGGUACACGAGUGGCGCACGGGUGCGUAACACGUGAGUAACCUGCCCACAACUUUGGGAUAACGCUAGGAAACUGGUGCUAAUACUGGAUAUGUGCUCCUGCUGCAUGGUGGGGGUUGGAAAGCUCCGGCGGUUGUGGAUGGACUCGCGGCCUAUCAGCUUGUUGGUGGGGUAGUGGCCUACCAAGGCGGCGACGGGUAGCCGGCCUGAGAGGGUGACCGGCCACAUUGGGACUGAGAUACGGCCCAGACUCCUACGGGAGGCAGCAGUGGGGAAUAUUGCACAAUGGGCGCAAGCCUGAUGCAGCAACGCCGCGUGCGGGAUGACGGCCUUCGGGUUGUAAACCGCUUUCAGCAGGGACGAAGCUUUUUGUGACGGUACCUGCAGAAGAAGCACCGGCUAACUACGUG